rnacentral:rRNA from 1 species
AGGAAGUAAAAGUCGUAACAAGGUUUCCGUAGGUGAACCUGCGGAAGGAUCAUUAAAUUCAGUAGCUUGCUACUGUUAGGGGGGUCUAUUAGUCUGUAUAGUAUCACUACUGAUGAGCAGCACGACCCUCUGUCUAUACCCUUGUCUUUUGCGCACUCAUGUUUCCUCGGCGGCUUUAUACCCGCCGGCUGGAUCAAUCUAUAACCUUUUUAAUUUUCAAUCAGCGUCUGAAAAACCUAAUAAUUACAACUUUCAACAACGGAUCUCUUGGUUCUGGCAUCGAUGAAGAACGCAGCGAAAUGCGAUAAGUAGUGUGAAUUGCAGAAUUCAGUGAAUCAUCGAAUCUUUGAACGCACAUUGCGCCCCUUGGUAUUCCAUGGGGCAUGCCUGUUCGAGCGUCAUUUGUACCCUCAAGCUCUGCUUGGUGUUGGGUGUUUGUCCACUAUCGUGGACUCGCCUUAAAGUCAUUGGCAGCCAGUGUUUUGGUAUUGAAGCGCAGCACAUUUUGCGCCUCUAGCCUAGAACACUAGCGUCCAGUAAGCCUUUUUCCACUUUUGACCUCGGAUCAGGUAGGGAUACCCGCUGAACUUAAGCAUAUCAAUAAGCGGAGGA